rnacentral:rRNA from 1 species
UACGGAGGGAGCUAGCGUUGUUCGGAAUUACUGGGCGUAAAGCGCACGUAGGCGGCUUUGUAAGUUAGAGGUGAAAUCCCCAGGCUUAACCUGGGAACUGCAUUCGAGACUGCAUUGCUAGAGUAUGGGAGAGGGAAGUGGAAUUUCCGGUGUAGCGGUGAAAUGCGUAGAUAUCGGAAGGAACAUCAGUGGCGAAAGCGACUUCCUGGACCAAUACUGACGCUCAUGUGCGAAAGCGUGGGGAGCAAACAGG